CGUACACACACGUCAUAGAGGGCCGCCAGAUCACACUCUGCCAUGUCUCGCUCCGCCUGCAGGGCUGCCACCUGAAGCUUCAGCGCUGCCUGCCCCUUCCGUUGUGUCUCUCUCUCCUCACAAGCCUGCAGGUUUGCAAACAGUGCAUCAGGGAAACAAUCUGACUGACCAGAUUCCCAUGGCUAAUGUGGGACAGAGCUGGAAUGGAGCAUGCUUUCACUAGCUGCCCUCCUCACUAGGUAAAAUCCAAACCCAGAGACGUGCCACCCUGUGGUGUAGCCUUACCUUCUCCCACACACUUGCUAGCCAGACGGAACAAUCUUGCUGUUCUUUCCUCGGCUUUAUCAGACUUUGGCUUUAUCAGAGAACGUGCCCGUGUCCACCACAUAUACAACUUUUGAAAUGGA